UUGGAGGGCAAGUCUGGUGCCAGCAGCCGCGGUAAUUCCAGCUCCAAUAGCGUAUAUUAAAGUUGUUGCAGUUAAAAAGCUCGUAGUUGAAUUUCGGGAUCAAAUUGUCGGUCGUGCCUCGGUACGCACUGGUAUUAUUGGUUCCUACCUUCUGAAGAACCGCGAUGUCAUUAACUUGGUGUCGUGGGGAAUCAGGACUGUUACUUUGAAAAAAUUAGAGUGUUUAAAGCAGGCUUACGCUUGAAUACAUUAGCAUGGAAUAAUGAAAUAGGACGUUUGAUUCUAUUUUGUUGGUUUCUAGGAUUGACGUAAUGAUUAAUAGGGAUAGUUGGGGGCAUUAGUAUUCAAUUGUCAGAGGUGAAAUUCUUGGAUUUAUUGAAGACUAACUACUGCGAAAGCAUUUGCCAAGGAUGUUUUCAUUAAUCAAGAACGAAAGUUAGGGGAUCGAAGACGAUCAGAUACCGUCGUAGUCUUAACCAUAAACUAUGCCGACUAGGGAUCAGACAAGGAUUUUUUGUCUUGUUCGGCGCCUUACGGGAAAC
rnacentral:rRNA from 1 species